rnacentral:rRNA from 1 species
GAUGAACGCUGGCGGCGUGCCUAAUACAUGCAAGUCGAGCGAACAGACGAGGAGCUUGCUCCUCUGACGUUAGCGGCGGACGGGUGAGUAACACGUGGAUAACCUACCUAUAAGACUGGGAUAACUUCGGGAAACCGGAGCUAAUACCGGAUAAUAUAUUGAACCGCAUGGUUCAAUAGUGGAAGACGGUUUUGCUGUCACUUAUAGAUGGAUCCGCGCCGCAUUAGCUAGUUGGUAAGGUAACGGCUUACCAAAGCAACGAUGCGUAGCCGACCUGAGAGGGUGAUCGGCCACACUGGAACUGAGACACGGUCCAGACUCCUACGGGAGGCAGCAGUAGGGGAUCUUCCGCAAUGGGCGAAAGCCUGACGGAGCAACGCCGCGUGAGUGAUGAAGGUCUUCGGAUCGUAAAACUCUGUUAUUAGGGAAGAACAAAUGUGUAAGUAACUAUGCACGUCUUGACGGUACCUAAUCAGAAAGCCACGGCUAACUACGUG